rnacentral:rRNA from 1 species
CACAAAGGGCUUGGUCCUGACUUUACUGUCAGCUUUAGCUAGAUUUACACAUGCAAGUCUCCGCCUCCCUGUGAGAAUGCCCACAGUUUUCCGCCCGAAAACAAGGAGCCGGUAUCAGGCACACACCCCUGUAGCCCAUGACACCUUGCUUAGCCACACCUUCAAGGGAACUCAGCAGUGAUAAACAUUAAGCCAUAAGUGAAAACUUGACUUAGUUAAAGCCAAGAGGGCCGGUAAAACUCGUGCCAGCCACCGCGGUUAUACGAGAGGCCCAAGUUGACAGACAUCGGCGUAAAGAGUGGUUAAGAAGUUUUUAAACUAAAGCCGAACGCCCUCAGAACUGUUAUACGUACCCGAGGGUAAGAAGCCCCACUACGAAAGUGGCUUUAUAUUUCCGACCCCACGAAAGCUGCGAAACAAACUGGGAUUAGAUACCCCACUAUGCCCAGCCCUAAACUUUGAUAGCCCGUUACUCCCGCUAUCCGCCCGGGUACUACGAGCACUAGCUUAAAACCCAAAGGACUUGGCGGUGCUUUAGAUCCAUCUAGAGGAGCCUGUUCUAGAACCAA